rnacentral:lncRNA from 1 species
UUUCUGGAUCUUUUCAAAGAUUCUUUGUCUUAGCUUCCAGACCGCCACUGCCCAGUAGCACUCAGGAGCUCUGGAGCAGAAAGGAAUGUGUCCAAGGUGAGGGCUUGGGCUCUCUGUGCCCCAGCUAACACUCAGUAAGGAAUUCCUGCCUUAUUCACCUUGUUCUCCCUCAAACCAAAGUGUUUUCCCACGGAGAAGCGGGCAGGGAGGGUUUGUUAGCUGGCAGCUGGCUUUGGGGAGCAGAAGGACAGGGGGUGAGGCGCAGCACACCCCGUGCUCCCAUCCGAGCCUCAUGCUGCUGCUGGCUUUUCCCCUCACAGCUGAGGAGCGCAGCAGCACGGCGCCUGGGAAAGCAGCCCUCAAGGAACGGGAGGCGUUUAAUGCCCGGAAUAUCCUCAAGCUCUUCGAGCACUUCUACUUCGGCGAGGUGCAGCUGGACGCGGUUCGGCUCUCCCAGAGGUUCUCCACGGACGCCUCCGGCUACUACGCGACGUCGGGGCAGCUCAACUUCUGCUGAGCAGCAGCGCGGCCGCCCUGUGCGCCACCACCACCACCAUGUUUUCAUAGGGCGAGGAGUCUGGAACUGCAGACGGGUUCGUUUUCCAAGAAAACAGCUGGAAAAACUGGCUUUGGGGGGCACCUCCCUGCUGUCGCCUGUUUCAGAGGAGGAAGGCCGCGCUGUACAGAAGCGUGCGCGAUCCAGGAGAGCUCCCCGGAGCGCGGUAUCGGGGUCAGGCGCUGCUCAGAGCUCCAGCAGUGCGCCCGUGUGAUGUCGAUCUCCAAAUAAAUUAAUUCUCUUCAAAGGCAAAGCCUUUGUCUCCGCUUGCUUGAUGGUUUCUGUAAUCAAACUUCCAGCUGUGAGCGGGAAAGCACUGGUGGCAGGAGAGCUGGGUGGUGUGUGGGGAUGUGGUGCCUUGGGGUCUGGUGUGUUGGGGUCUGGUAUCUUUGGAAACUGGGGUUUGGGGUCUGGUGUGCUGGGUCUGGUGUGUUGGGGCGUGGUGCCUUGGGGUCUGAAGGCUGGUGUCCUGGGGUCUGGUGUCCUGAGGUCUUGGGGUCUGGUGCAUUGGGGUCUGGUGUGUUGGGGUCUGGGGGGUCUGGUGUGCUGGGAACUUGGGUUUUGGGGUCUGGUGCGUUGGGGUUUGGUGUGUUGGGGUCUAGUGUUUUGGGGUCUGAGGGCUGGUGUUUUGGGAUUUGGUGUCUUGGGGUCUGGUGCGUUGGGGUCUGGCGUGUUGGGGUGUGGUGCCUUGGGGUCUGAAGGCUGCUGUCCUGGUGUCCUGGUGUAUGGUGUCCUGAGGUCUUGGGGUCUGCUGUGUUUGGGUUGGGUUUGGUUGGGUUUGGUGUGUUGGGGACCUGAGGUCUGCUGUGCGUGGCUCUGGCGUCUUGGGGUCUUGAGGGCUGGCGCGUUGGGGUCUGGCACAUUGGGGUCUGGGGGCUGUGGCGUGCUGGGAACUUGGGGUUUGGGCUCUGGUGAGUUGGGGUUUGCUGUGUUGGGGUCUGAGUGCUGGCGCUGGGCGCCUGAGGCGGCCGCAGGCCUCGCCCCCCCCCAGCGGCGCAGGUGCAGGCGCCGCCCCUCGCCCCCCGCCCGGCCCCUCCCGGCCGCGCUCGGCUCCUGUCGGCUCCUGUCGCCGCCCCUCGCCUCCCUUCGGCUGCGCUCGGCCCCGCUCGGCCCCGCUCGGCUCCCGGCGGCGCUGCGGCAGGAUGCGGGGCUGCGGCGCGCUGCGGGGGCUGCCGCUGCUGCUGCUGCUGCUGCUGCUGCCCGGCACCGCCACCGGCACCGCCACCAACACCGGCACCGGCACCUCCACCGGCACCGGCAGCGCCCCGGCAGGGAACUUCUUGGAGGAUGAGCAGUGGCUGUCCUCCAUCGCGCAGUACGGCGGCCGCAUCCGGCACUGGAACCGCUUCCGAGACGUGAGUGAGCCGCGGGGGGCCGGGGGGCGGCGGGGGGCUGCGGGGCGCCCGGCUCACCCCCAGCCUCCGGCCUCUCCCCCUCUGCAAUACCGCUGCCGCCCGGAGCGCAGGAGGUGGAGGUGAGAGCGGGGAGGGGGUGCACGGGGGUGUGCAAGGAAUGGGGACGUGCAAGGAAUGGGUGUGCAAGGAAUGGGGAUGUGCAAUGCACCGGGAUGUGCAAUGCACCAGGGUGUUUGUGUGCAAUGCACGGGGGUGUGCGAUGCACAGGGAUGUGCAAUGCACCGGGGUGUGCAAUGCACCAGGGUGUCUGUGUGCAAUGCACGGGGAUGUGCGGUGCACAAGGAUGUGCAAUGCACCGGGAUGUGCAAUGCACCGGGGGGUUUGUGUGCAAUGCACGGGGGUGUGCGGCGAGUGGGGGUGUGCGAUGCACAAGGACGUGCGGUGCGCCGGGAGGUGCGGUGCAGCAGGAUGCUCGUGUGCAAUGCAGAGGGGUGGGAAACGCACGGGGAUGUGCAAUGCACCGCGGGGGGCAAUGCACGGGGAGGUGCGCGUGCAGCGUGCAGGGGUGUGCAACGCACGGGGGGGUGCAGGGCAUGAGGAUGUGCCUGUGCAAUGCAGCGGGAUGUGCAGCGUGCAGGGAUGCACGUGUGCAAUGCACGGGGGUGUGCAAUGAAUGGGCUGUGUGUGUGUGUGUGCCUGUGCGGUGCAUGGGGGCGCGGUGCAUGAGGGUGCAAGCACCCGCUGUGCAGUGCGUGUGCGCCGUGCACGGGCGUGCAGUGCCUCCGUCUAGCGUGCAGCGCCCGGGCAUGUGCAGUGCAUGCGUGUGCAACGCCCGCGUGCAAGGCUCAGGGGCGUGCAGCGCCUGCGUGCGCGCACAGUGUCCCCGUGCCAUGCACCUGCUCCUCCUGCCGGGCCGGGGACGCUGCUCGCACCCCC